rnacentral:rRNA from 1 species
UUCAAUUUUUGAAGUUUCUUUAGCUUUUUUGUUGGGUGAAAUCAGUAUAAGGAGCUCUUUCUUCUUUAAAAAUUAGUAGGAACUAAAAAACUUCGAUUUAAAACCAGGAUUAGAUACCCUGUUAUUCUCAGUUAUUCUUAAACAGGGUAGUAAAAGUUGUUCUUCAAACCCAAAGAUUUUGGCGGCACUUUAUCCAAAUAGAGGAGCUUGUCCCUUAAUCGAUAGUCCUCGUUUUAUCUUUCCUUCAUUUGUAAAGCUUGUAUACCGCCGUUGUCAGAUUACUUUUAGAGAAUGUUUUCAAGUUAAAAGGCUUUAUAACUUCAGGUCAAGGUGCAGUUUAUAUGGGGGUGGAGGUGAGCUACAGUUUCCUUUAGAAAAUACGGAUUCUAAGCUUUGAAGCUAGCUGAAGGUGGAUUUACUAGUAAAGUAAUUUAAGUAAA